rnacentral:rRNA from 1 species
UACGUAGGGUCCGAGCGUUUAAUCGGAAUUACUGGGCGUAAAGCGUGCGCAGGCGGUUUUGUAAGCCAGAUGUGAAAGCCCCGGGCUCAACCUGGGAACUGCAUUUGGGACUGCAAGGCUGGAGUACGGCAGAGGGAGGUGGAAUUCCACGUGUAGCAGUGAAAUGCGUAGAGAUGCGGAGGAACACCGAUGGCGAAGGCAGCCUCCUGGGCUAGUACUGACGCUCAUGCACGAAAGCGUGGGGAGCAAACAGG